rfam:Picea glauca, whole genome shotgun sequence.
ACAUGCCUACAACAUAGUAUUAAUGCAAUAGAUUCCAUUAGAACUCUGCAGUGAAGCGCACUCAUGCUAGAGUAGUAUUGGGAUGGGUGACUGCCCAGGAAGUCCUAAUGUUUUACAUGCC